CCCCCCCCCCCAGUUCUGUGGCUGCACCAUCGCGGGGCUCUCUCUGCUGUCGGCGGCGGUGAUGCGGCUGCGCAGCGUUGGGGACCCCCAGGAGUGGGCAGAGCUGCUGCUGGAGCCGCUCUCCCUUUACGUCCUGCGGUGAGUUGGGGGGCGCCGCGACCCCCGGGCUGCCCCACAGCGCCCCAUACGCACCCAUAGGGACCCACACAGCCCCACAGGGACCCAUAGAGCCCCAUAGGGAGCCACAGAGCCCCACAGGAACCCACGGGGACCCACAGUGCCCCAUAAGGACCCAUAGAGCCCCACAGGGACCCACAGAGCCCCAUAGGGACCCAUAGACCCCACAGAGCCCCACGGGGACCCAUAGAGCCCCACAGGGACCCACAGAGCCCCAUAGUGACCCACAGAGCCCCACAGGGACCCACAGAGCCCCAUAAGGAGCCACAGAGCCCCAUAGGGACCCAUAGAGCCCCAUAGGGACCCACAGAGCCCCAUAAGGACCCACAGAGACCCACAGAGCCCCAUAGGGAUCCAUAGAGCCCCACAAGGACCCACAGAGCUCCAUAGGGACCCAGAGAGCCCCACAGGGACCCACAGAGCCCCAUAAGGAGCCACAGAGCCCCAUAGGGACCCAUAGAGCCCCAUAGGGACCCACAGAGCCCCAUAAGGACCCACAGAGACCCACAGAGCCCCAUAGGGAUCCAUAGAGCCCCACAAGGACCCACAGAGCUCCAUAGGGACCCAUACAACCCCAUAGGGAGCCCCACAGCACCCCAUAGAGCCCCAUAGGGACCCACAGCGCCCCACAGGGAGACCCACAGCGCCCCAUAGAGCCCCAUAGGGAUCUAUUGAGCCUCAUAGAGCCCCACAGGGACCCAUACAGCCCCAUAGGGAUCCCCACAGCACCCCAUACAGCCCCACAGGGACCCAUACAGCCCCACAGCAUCCCAUAGAGCCCCAUAGGGACCCAUAGAGCCCCACAGGGAGACCCACAGCGCCCCAUAGGGACCUAUUGAGCCUCAUAGAGCCCCACAGGGAUCCAUACAGCCCCAUAGGGAUCCGCACAGCACCCCAUAGAGCCCCACAGGGACCCAUACGGCCCCACAGCGCCCCAUUGAGCCCCACAGGGACCCAUACAGCCCCAUAGGGAGCCCCACAGGGACCCAUAGAGCCCCAUAGGGAGCCCCACAGCACCCCAUAGAGCCCCACAGGGACCCAUAGAGCCCCACAGGGAGACCCACAGCGCCCCAUAGGGAGCCCCACAGCACCCCAUAGGGACCCAGAGAGCCCCACAGGGACCCACAGAGCCCCAUAAGGACUCACAGAGCCCCACAGGGACGCAUAGAGCCCCACAAGGACCCACAGAGCCCCACAGGGACCUAUACAGCCCCAUAGGGAGCCCCACAGCACCCCAUAGAGCCCCACAGGGACCCAUACAGCCCCACAGGGAGACCCACAGCGCCCCAUAGAGCCCCAUAGGGACCUAUUGAGCCUCAUAGAGCCCCACAGGGACCCAUAGAGCCCCACAGGGACCCACAGAGCCCCACAGGGAGACCCACAGCACCCCAUAGAGCCCCACAGGGACCCACAGAGCCCCAUAGGGAUCCCCACAGCACCCCAUAGAGCCCCACAGGGACCCAUACGGCCCCACAGCGCCCCAUAGAGCCCCACAGGGACCUAUUGAGCCUCAUAGAGCCCCACAGGGACACAUACAGCCCCAUAGGGACCCAGUGAGCCCCACAGGGAGACCCACAGCGCCCCAUAGAGCCCCAUAGGGACCUAUUGAGCCUCAUAGAGCCCCACAGGGACCCAUAGAGCCCCACAGGGAGACCCACAGCGCCCUAUAGAGCCCCACAGGGACCCAUACGGCCCCACAGCGCCCCAUAGAGCCCCUCAGGGACCCAUAGAGCCCCAUAGGGAGCCCCACAGGGACCCAUAGAGCCCCACAGGGACCUAUUGAGCCCCAUAGAGCCCCACAGGGACAUAUUGAUCCUCAUAGAGACCCACAGGGAUCCUUACAGCCCCAUAGGGACCCAUACAGCCCCACAGCACCCCAUAGAGCCCCACAGGGACCCAUACAGCCCCAUAGGGAUCCCCACAGCACCCCAUAGAGCCCUACAGGGACCCAUACAGCCCCACAGCGCCCCAUAGAGCCCCUCGGGGACCUAUACAGCCCCAUAGGGAGCCCCACAGCACCCCAUAGAGCCCCACAGGGACCCAUACAGCCCCACAGCGCCCCAUAGAGCCCCCCAGUUUACCCCAUAGAUCCCCAUAGGGAGCCCCACAGCACCCCAUAGAGUCCCACAGGGACCCAUACAGCGCCACAGCGCCCCAUAGAGCCCCAUAGGGACCUAUUGAGCCUCAUAGAGCCCCACAGGGACACAUACAGCCCCAUAGGGAGCCCCACAGCACCCCAUAGAGCCCCACAGGGACCCAUAUAGCCCCAUAGGGACCCAUAGAGCCCCACAGGGAGACCCACAGAAGCCCAUAGAGCCCCAUAGGGACCUAUUGAGCCUCAUAGAGCCCCACGGGGACCCAUACAGCCCCAUAGGGAGCCCCACAGCACCCCAUAGAGCCCCACAGGGACCCAUACGGCCCCACAGCGCCCCAUAGAGCCCCACAGGGACCUAUUGAGCCUCAUAGAGCCCCACAGGGACCCAUACAGCCCCAUAGGGAGCCCCACAGCACCCCAUA
ensembl:lncRNA